UGGGGAAUUUUGCACAAUGGGGGAAACCCUGAUGCAGCGACGCCGCGUGAUUUAGAAGGCCUUCGGGUUUUAAAAAUCUUUUUUAUGGGAAGAAAAUGACAGUACCAUAUGAAUAAGGACCGGCUAAUUACGUGCCAGCAGCCGCGGUAAUACGUAAGGUCCGAGCGUUGUCCGGAAUCAUUGGGCGUAAAGGGUACGUAGGCGGGUAAGCAAGUUAGAAGUGAAAUCCUAUAGCUCAACUAUAGUAAGCUUUUAAAACUGCUCAUCUUGAGGUAUGGAAGGGAAAGUGGAAUUCCUAGUGUAGCGGUGAAAUGCGCAGAUAUUAGGAGGAAUACCGGUGGCGAAGGCGACUUUCUGGCCAUAACCUGACGCUGAGGUACGAAAGCGUGGGUAGCAAACAGG
rnacentral:rRNA from 1 species